CACCUGUUCCCAUGCCGAACACAGAAGUUAAGCUCCUUAGCGCCGAUGGUAGUCGGACUGACGUUCCGCUAGAGUAGGACGUUGCUAGGC
rnacentral:rRNA from 1 species